AUUGCAAUUACUCCUAAUCCCUAUUAGGGAUUGAAAC
rfam:Desertifilum sp. IPPAS B-1220 NODE_5_length_178902_cov_33.8927, whole genome shotgun sequence.